GUCUGGCUGGCCGGUCCGCCUCACCGCGAGUACUGGUCCGGCUGGACCUUUCCUUCUGGGGAAUCUCAUGGCCUUCACUGGCUGUGGGGGGAACCAGGACUUUUACUGUGAAAAAAUUAGAGUGUUCAAAGCAGGCCUUUGCUCGAAUACAUUAGCAUGGAAUAAUAGAAUAGGACGUGCGGUUCUAUUUUGUUGGUUUCUAGGACCGCCGUAAUGAUUAAUAGGGAUAGUCGGGGGCGUCAGUAUUCAGCUGUCAGAGGUGAAAUUCUUGGAUUUGCUGAAGACUAACUACUGCGAAAGCAUUCGCCAAGGAUGUUUUCAUUAAUCAGGGAACGAAAGUUAGGGGAUCGAAGACGAUCAGAUACCGUCGUAGUCUUAACCAUAAACUAUGCCGACUAGGGAUCGGACGGUGUUUCUAUGAUGACCCGCUCGGCACCUUACGAGAAAUCAAAGUUUUUGGGUUCUGGGGGGAGUAUGGUCGCAAGGCUGAAACUUAAAGAAAUUGACGGAAGGGCACCACCAGGCGUGGAGCCUGCGGCUUAAUUU
rnacentral:rRNA from 1 species